AGCUUUGCGCUGUGGCAGUAUCAUAGCCAAUGAGGUUUACCUGAGGCGUGAUUAUUGCUAAUUGAAAAGAGAGAUCCUACUUUUGGUCUUUUUCAUUCAUUCUGUAAUUUCUACUCCAGAUAAAGACAUGACAUGUUUUUGUCAUAACUGUUGUU
ensembl:snRNA U4 U4 spliceosomal RNA